GAUGAACGCUGGCGGCGUGCCUAAUACAUGCAAGUCGAGCGAACAGACGAGGAGCUUGCUCCUCUGACGUUAGCGGCGGACGGGUGAGUAACACGUGGAUAACCUACCUAUAAGACUGGGAUAACUUCGGGAAACCGGAGCUAAUACCGGAUAAUAUAUUGAACCGCAUGGUUCAAUAGUGAAAGACGGUUUUGCUGUCACUUAUAGAUGGAUCCGCGCCGCAUUAGCUAGUUGGUAAGGUAACGGCUUACCAAGGCAACGAUGCGUAGCCGACCUGAGAGGGUGAUCGGCCACACUGGAACUGAGACACGGUCCAGACUCCUACGGGUGGCAGCAGUAGGGAAUCUUCCGCAAUGGGCGAAAGCCUGACGGAGCAACGCCGCGUGAGUGAUGAAGGUCUUCGGAUCGUAAAACUCUGUUAUUAGGGAAGAACAAAUGUGUAAGUAACUAUGCACGUCUUGACGGUACCUAAUCAGAAAGCCACGGCUAACUACGUGC
rnacentral:rRNA from 1 species